UCUAAUUGAUCCAUUUUGAUUGCCACCAAAACUUCUCGAGCCCUAUGUUUUUCUUCUGUUCAAUUUUUUGUUUCUGUUCAGUUUGCCGGCAGAAAAAUCUUGAAACGUAUAGAAUUUUAAAGAAUUGAAGCGUCGUCUUCAAUAGAGUCAUUAAUAAUUGUUCUCCGCACCUCACACGAUCUGUCAUCGAAUGCAUCCCCCUUUUACUUCCUUUUCAGAACCUUCAACUACAAAAAGGGAAGUUCUUCCCCUUCAAUUUCAUCAGUUUUAUCAUCCCAAACAUAAGUUUUCCACCUUAGGUUUUCUUACCUGAUUCUAUCUCUAAUUCCUCUUUACUAUGUUUUUACGUUCUGUUCUGGUCACAUAUUGAUUUUUUGGCUGUCUAAGGUUAGAAGGAUUAAACUUUUUGGCUACUGUGAAAUUUAGUGAAGGAUUUUCAAGAUAGAGCAUCCAAGGAAACAAAUAUAUUGCUGCUUUGCUCUGAGUGGGUCCUUCUCACCUCGAAGGUUCUUUUGUAGCUUAGCCUCUUGAUCUUGAAAGGCACUUUGGCUUUAAAUCUUAAUGCAAAAAAAACAGAAGAAGAGGCACCUUAUUUUGUUAAGGCUGAAAAGUACAAGGUUGACUACAAGAACAUGAAAGACUACAACAAAUACCUGAUAUAAAGGAGGAAGGUAGAAAGAGAUGAGGCCGUUCAGUUAUACUCUAAGAGGUUAGCGAUGACGACGAUGUUUAGGAUGGUGGUUAAGAGAGUAAAAGCUGGCAUGGCUCCCGAGUAGUCCUCUCAUCAGCUGCCAGAUAUGGUGUGACAAAGUUGGAGCCAGAUAAUUCGAUUCAUAAGCUAAAAUGUAACACCCGUUUGUUGAAGGAGCAUAUGGCUAAGCUAGGAGUGCUUAACGAAGUGGUUGGAGAAGAGGUAUCAGACAUAUAGUUUCACUUGACAAACUGCUUCAAAAAGUGAGAAACAGAUCGACCAAAAGUCAGUUGACCAAAGGUGUAAAAAAUACUCGGGAGGAUGUCAACAAGAUCUUUGAGUUGAUGUAUCACGUCUUUUUUGCUUCCCAACAAAUGCAGAAAACCAGAAAGGUUACAUUCUGAAGAUGGUGAAGUGGAGAAUAACGAAUGCUUGCCAAGUAUACAUGUUAAUGAAGAUCUUAAGAGACUCGAGGAUUUCAGACUAUCAGAGACAAGUUCUUGGAGCUUAGUACUGACAGCAAGGUCUGAUUCCUGAGCUUUGUUGUGCUCCCGGAGAAUCAAGAAGUCAACAUGAUGAUGCCACUCUUCCUGGUGAAGUCAAACCCCAAGAUGCUGCGAAAGACAUUCUCAAGGAGUUCAUGGAAAAUAUUUGAUUGAAGCUCUUGAAAAUUAAUUCGAAGUUUGAGCAAAAUAGUUUUAUGACACUUUUGUGCAUUCAUUCGUCGAUUGUUCUUAUCACAGAGUAGAUAAUUAUUUAGUAUGUCAAGGAUGGAGCAUUCAACCUUCAAAUAUAUAGAAUACAUACACAAUACUAAUUUUUUUUAUGUA